GGGCCCGCACAAGCGGUGGAGCAUGUGGUUUAAUUCGAUGAUACGCGAGGAACCUUACCAGGGCUUAAAUGUAGUGGGACAGGUCUAGAGAUAGACCCUUCUUCGGACUCAUUACAAGGUGCUGCAUGGUUGUCGUCAGCUCGUGCCGUGAGGUGUCAGGUUAAGUCCUAUAACGAGCGCAACCCCUAUCGUUAGUUGCCAGCGGGUAAUGUUGGGUACUCUAGCGAGACUGCCGGUGCAAACCGUGAGGAAGGUGGGGAUGACGUCAAAUCAUCACGGCCCUUACGUCCUGGGCUACACACGUGCUUCAAUGGCCGGUACAGAGAGCAGCCACUACGCGAGUAGGAGCGAAUCUUCAAAGCCGGUCUCAGUUCGGAUCGCAGUCUGCAACUCGACUGCGUGAAGCUGGAAUC
rnacentral:rRNA from 1 species